rnacentral:rRNA from 1 species
GUAGUCAUAUGCUUGUCUCAAAGAUUAAGCCAUGCAUGUCUAAGUUUAAAUAAUUUUACUGUGAAACUGCGAAUGGCUCAUUAUAUAAGUUAUCGUUUAUUUGAUAGUACCUUACUACAUGGAUAACCGUGGUAAUUCUAGAGCUAAUACAUGCUAAAAACCUCGACUUCGGAAGAGGUGUGUUUAUUAGAUUAAAAACCAAUGCCCUUCGGGGCUCACUGGCGAUUCAUAAUAACCUCUCGAAUCGCAUGGCCUUGCGCCGGCGAUGGUUCAUUCAAAUUUCUUCCCUAUCAACUUUCGAUGCUAGAGUAGUGUUCUAGCAUGGUUACAACGGGUAACGGGGAAUGGGGCGGGGGCGGCGGGCCGGGCGCGGGGCGCGGCGGGCG